GGGGGCGAUCGGUAUCGACCGAAGAGCCUGUGUGGUGAGGAAGGAUGCCGAGGACGCACGUGACCUCGUAAAUCAUCGGGCACAAAACAAGUGUCGAAGACACGAACUACGCUCUCGCAGCCUAAUAGUGCUCCGAGCGUGCUGCGGCGGUUGCCUGGACGGCCGUAGAACGACAUUGCAAACAGGCUGGCGCCAAAACCCUGUCACGGGGCAAGGCGUGAGAUCCUAGUGACUCGCCAUGCCGCAGUUUGUCCAUCAACGGCGGCGCGGUCAGAAAUCAAGGACGGACUAAGCAUCUAGAUGCCUUACCAGUCAGCUUUGCGGCACGCGGGUUCGAUUCCCGCCGCCUCCACCA
rnacentral:tmRNA from 1 species